CUGUAGCUCAGUAGGUAGAGCACUUGACUUUUAAUCAAGGUGUCCGGAGUUCGAAUCUCCGC
rnacentral:tRNA from 1 species